rnacentral:rRNA from 1 species
AGGACGAACGCUGGCGGCGUGCUUAACACAUGCAAGUCGAACGAACCUUCGGGUUAGUGGCGAACGGGUGAGUAACACGUGGGCAACCUGCCUCGAGCUCUGGGAUAACACCGGGAAACCGGUGCUAAUACCGGAUAUGAACAGAGAAGGCAUCUUCUCUGUUGGAAAGUUUUUCGGCUCGAGAUGGGCCCGCGGCCUACCAGCUUGUUGGUGGGGUAACGGCCUACCAAGGCGACGACGGGUAACC